UUNAUAAGCUGCUUCAGUGAUUUCUCUUUGCAGGCUUCUUGUUCUGAGGGAGCUGAGCAGAGAGAUUUCAUUACCUCGGAAGAUAUAAAGCAAGCAUUAUUCAGAAACGCAGGUUAUGGAGGAAGUUGCUUGUAAGGGAGUUGCUAUUAUUUGAAAUUUAAUAAACCAAAACGAUUGUUUAUUUUUAAUAAUAAUAGCUCUUUUAAAAAAAUUUAGAUGUUGUGCUUAAUUCCCUUGUCAGUUUGAUUUUUAUUUUUGUUCUAGGGGAAAACAUUAUGAGUUGUAUAAAAGAAAAGGAAAUUAAAAAGAGAUGUUUUUUUUUCUUUCUUGGA